rnacentral:rRNA from 1 species
AGUGAACGCUGGCGGUAGGCCUAACACAUGCAAGUCGAACGGCAGCAGAGUAAGAGCUUGCCCUAACGGGGGGCGAGUGGCGGACGGGUGCGGAAGACAGCGGAAUAUCCACUUUAGAGGGGGAUAACGACGGGAAACUUACGCUAAUACCGCAUACGACCUACGGGUGAAAGCAGGGGCUCUUGGGACCUUGCGUGAUUGAAUGAGCCGAUGUCGGAUUAGAUAGUUGGCGGGGUAACGGCCCACUAAGGCGACGAACAGUAGCUGAUCUAGGAGAAGGAUCGUCGACAGUGCGACUGGAUCACGGGCCAGACUCCUACGGGGGGCCGCAGUGGAGUAUAUUGGACGAUAGGCGCGGGCCUGAUCCAGCCAUGCCGCGUAGGUUGAGGAGGCCUUCGGGUGGUGAGGCCCUUGUCUUGGGAGAGAAAAGCAUCAGGUUAAUGCCCCGCUGUUCUGACGGUACCCAAAGAAUAAGCACCGGCUAACUUCGUG